rnacentral:lncRNA from 1 species
UUACCCUACUUUCUGAUUUACGUUACUAAAGCUUUUGGAGAUUCCCAAGUGGAACGUAAAUACAAAACAAAGCAAGAAAGUCCUGUUUUAUUCCACCAGGAGGAAAAUCAGUAAAUGUUAUCUAGCCCUUUAUGUGGAACUUUCUAAUGUGUUCUUUGGAGAGGACCGAACCCUGCAUUCAAUUAUGCAUGAUAUGCUGCAGAUGUUGUCGUCCAUGCAUCUCUGGGAGGUAUUUUGUACCUCAUGAAAGAAGGAAAAAGAGCCUUGAUUCGGAUCCCAGUCUUCACUGA